rnacentral:rRNA from 1 species
GGGCCCGCACAAGCGGUGGAGCAUGUGGUUUAAUUCGAUGAUACGCGAGGAACCUUACCAGGGCUUAAAUGUAGUCUGACAGGGGUGGAAACACCCCUCCUUCGGGCAGAUUACAAGGUGCUGCAUGGUUGUCGUCAGCUCGUGCCGUGAGGUGUCAGGUUAAGUCCUAUAACGAGCGCAACCCCUGCCGUUAGUUGCCAGCAUGUAAUGAUGGGAACUCUAACGGGACUGCCGGUGCAAACCGCGAGGAAGGUGGGGAUGACGUCAAAUCAUCACGGCCCUUACGGCCUGGGCUACACACGUGCUACAAUGGCUAGGACAGACGGCCAGCAAACCCGCGAGGGGAGCCAA